rnacentral:rRNA from 1 species
AGACGUAGGGGGCGAGCGUUGUUCGGAAUUACUGGGCGUAAAGAGCUCGUAGGCGGGAGGUUUAGUCUUGCAAUAAAGCCCACAGCUCAACUGUGGAUCAUUGUAAGAAACUGGCUUUCUCGAGAACAGGAGAGGGCAGUGGAAUUCCUAGUGUAGCGGUGAAAUGCGUAGAUAUUAGGAGGAACACCAGUGGCGAAGGCGACUGUCUGGCCUGUUUCUGACGCUGAGGAGCGAAAGCUGGGGGAGCAAACGGGAUUAGAAACCCUAGUAGUCC